UACGAAGGGGGCUAGCGUUGCUCGGAAUCACUGGGCGUAAAGGGUGCGUAGGCGGGUUUUUAAGUCAGAGGUGAAAUCCUGGAGCUCAACUCCAGAACUGCCUUUGAUACUGAAAGUCUUGAGUAUGGGAGAGGUGAGUGGAACUGCGAGUGUAGAGGUGAAAUUCGUAGAUAUUCGCAAGAACACCAGUGGCGAAGGCGGCUCACUGGCCCAUACUGACGCUGAGGCACGAAAGCGUGGGGAGCAAGCAGGA
rnacentral:rRNA from 1 species